rnacentral:rRNA from 1 species
CCUACGGGAGGCAGCAGUGGGGAAUUUUGGACAAUGGGCGCAGGCCUGAUCCAGCAAUGCCGCGUGCAGGAUGAAGGCCUUCGGGUUGUAAACUGCUUUUGUACGGAACGAAACGGUUCGCUUUAAUACAGUGGGCUAAUGACGGUACCGUAAGAAUAAGCACCGGCUAACUACGUGCCAGCAGCCGCGGUAAUACGUAGGGUGCGAGCGUUAAUCGGAAUUACUGGGCGUAAAGCGUGCGCAGGCGGUGAUGUAAGACAGAUGUGAAAUCCCCGGGCUCAACCUGGGACCUGCAUUUGUGACUGCAUCGCUAGAGUACGGUAGAGGGGGAUGGAAUUCCGCGUGUAGCAGUGAAAUGCGUAGAUAUGCGGAGGAACACCGAUGGCGAAGCAAUCCCCUGGACCUGCACUGACGCUCAUGCACGAGAGCGUGGGGAGCAAACAGGAUUAGAUACCCUGGUAGUCCACGCCCUAAACGAUGUCAACUGGUUGUUGGGUCUUCACUGACUCAGUAACGAAGCUAACGCGUGAAGUUGACCGCCUGGGAGUACGCCGCAAGAUUGAAACUCAAAGGAAUUGACGG